rnacentral:rRNA from 1 species
GACGAACGCUGGCGGCGUGCCUAAUACAUGCAAGUUGAGCGAUGAAGCUUGGUGCUUGCACCAAUUUGAAGAGCAGCGAACGGGUGAGUAACGCGUGGGGAAUCUGCCUUUGAGCGGGGGACAACAUUUGGAAACGAAUGCUAAUACCGCAUAACAACUUUAAACAUAAGUUUUAAGUUUGAAAGAUGCAAUUGCAUCACUCAAAGAUGAUCCCGCGUUGUAUUAGCUAGUUGGUGAGGUAAAGGCUCACCAAGGCGAUGAUACAUAGCCGACCUGAGAGGGUGGUCGGCCAAAUUGGGAAUGAGACACGGCCCAAACUCCUACGGGAGGCAGCAGUAGGGAAUCUUCGGCAAUGGACGAAAGUCUGACCGAGCAACGCCGCGGGAGUGAAGAAGGUUUUCGGAUCGCAAAACUCUGUUGGUAGAGAAGAACGUUGGUGAGAGUGGAAAGCUCAUCAAGUGACGGUAACUACCCAGAAAGGGACGGCUAACUACGUG